UUUCCGGUUGAUCCUGCCGGACCUGACUGCUAUCGGAUUGGUACUAAGCCAUGUGAGUCAUUGUAGCAAUACAAGGCAUACGGCUCAGUAACACGUAGUCAAUCUGCCCUAUGGACGUGGAUAACCUCGGGAAACUGAGAAUAAUCCGCGAUAGAUCAUAAUGCCUGGAACGGUUUAUGGUCCAAAUGAUUCGUCGCCAUAGGAUGGGACUGCGGCCUAUCAGCUUGUUGGUGAGGUAAUGGCCCACCAAGGCUAUUACAGGUACGGGCUCUGAGAGGAGAAGCCCGGAGAUGGGUACUGAGACACGGACCCAGGCCCUAUGGGGCGCAGCAGGCGAGAAACCUUUGCAAUGUGCGCAAGCACGACAAGGUUAAUCCGAGUGUUUCCUGCUAAAGGAAUCUUUUGUUAGUUCUAAAGCCACUGAUGAAUAAGGGGUGGGCAAGUUCUGGUGUCAGCCGCCGCGGUAAAACCAGCACCUCAAGUGGUCAGGAGGAUUAUUGGGCCUAAAGCAUCCGUAGCCGGUUCUGUAAGUUUCCGGUUAAAUCCACUAGCUCAACUAAUGGGCUGCCGGAAAUACUGCAGAACUAGGGAGUGGGAGAGGUAGACGGUACUCGGGAGGAAGGGGUAAAAUCCUUUGAUCUCUUGAUGACCACCUGUGGCGAAAGCGGUCUACCAGAACACGUUCGACGGUGAGGGAUGAAAGCUGGGGGAGCAAACCGGAUUAGAUACCCGGGUAGUCCCAGCUGUAAACGAUGCAGACUCGGUGAUGCACUGGCUUUUGGCCAGUGCAGUGCCGCAGGGAAGCCGUUAAGUUUGCCGCCUGGGAAGUACGUACGCAAGUAUGAAACUUAAAGGAAUUGGCGGGGGAGCAC
rnacentral:rRNA from 1 species